CCUCGCCCCGCGCUCCCAGCUCUCUCGCUCCCGCGGCGCCCGCUGCAGCUUCUCCUCCUCCUUCGCCUCCUCCUCUUCCUUCGGCUCCUUCUCUUCUUCCUCCUCCUCUUCCUCCUCCUUCUCCUCCUCCUCUCCUUCCUCCUCCUCUUUCCCCACCUCCUCCCGCCUCCUCCUCCACCACCACUCCCUCCGGGGCACCCCGGUCCCUGCAGAGUCCCCGGCCGGCGCCGCCUCCGCUGCGGCCCCCCGGAUCCCUAGCCUGCUGAGCCAGAGCCGGUAGGACAAACGGACGGACAGACGCGCAGAUUCCUCGCGCCUAGCGCUCUGCCGCUGCUGCCUGCUCGCGUCCCCGCGUCAGGGGAGCUGGGAUCGCUCCGGAAACACCGAGAGGGCAAAUGCUACAGCAAACUAAAGUGUUUUCCAUUGCUGAGGUUGGGAACAUCAUCUCGGAAAUCUCUGCUGGCCUCAAAACCAUCGCUCACAGAGAUUUAGGAUGCCCUCACGUUUCAGUAUUUCCCAUGAGUCGAUUAAAAUGUGUAGAAGCUGCCACUUUCCUUCUGGCCCAUAGACCCAGAGAGGACUACGCAACGCAAGACGUCAGGUGCUUUGGCGAAUUCAUUAGUUUGUUCACCAAAUAUUUAUUGAGCAACGACUAGGUGCUCUAACGUUGCUCUACGUGCUGGAGACAAAGUGUAUAAACAAAGCACACGGGGCUCCUGUCUUCCUGCGGUUUACUUUCUGGUGGGGAAAAAAAAAAUGUUAACACGAUAAUUUCAGAGAGUUACAAGGGAAAUAAAGGAAAUAAGCCGAGCGGCGUGAUAGAGUGUGACUGGAGGCAGGAAGGGGCAACCGUGUCUGAGAAGCUGGUCGGAGGAGGCCUGAAGGAUGGAGGCUGAGAAGGAGCCAGCCAGACGAAGAGCUCGGGCAGGACGCAGCAAGCAGAGGACACAGCGAGUGCCAGUCAAUACCUGGAGAGCUGAAGAAGCGAGGAUGUGCGAAGAAAGGGAGCACAGGGGUCUGCAGCGUGGCGAAAGCCAAUGUGGAAUUUGAGAUCAAGCAUCUUUUACCUGACGUAGGUGAGAAGACAGACCCAGCGACCACCCCAGCACCCCCUCCCCACCACCAGAAUCAACCUGGAAUGGAAGAGGAGGGCAGCCUUCGAGCAUUCCCCCUCUCCCCAGGCCACCGGCAGCCAGCAUGGAGCCAGAUCUGUGCGGUUCACAUCUCAGCCUUUGCCCUGAGCUCCUCUGCGUGGCAUCCCCCAAAACAACACGGGCUGCAAGAAUGUUUCACACCAACUCAUUUCAUACUUCAUUUAUUUUAUUAAAAAAAGAAGAUAAAACUUCCAGGUUCAGAGUCCACUCUUCACCCCCCACCCUCCACCCGCUUCUGGCAAACAGGAGACAUCUGGGCUGGGAGGUGGGGAACGGUGGAGUUAGGGGCUGGGAGAAGCCGCUGGUGGAAGGGAAAGUCAGGUGUGGCCCCUUCUGAGCUUCCCAGGCCAACAAAUGUCUACAUUUCCUGGGAAGUUGUGAGCCUAGAGGAUUUCCCCAGGAAUCCGGGCUAGGCUUGUAAAGAAAUGAUCCCAACAUCAAGAAAAGAAACCGGCCAGUAAAUUCCUAGUUAGUUCAUUUUCUAAGACUUGUGAAUGUGGUUUGAAUUUUCUCUAAAUUAAGAUAAUCAUAAAAGGUUAAGAUAUUUAAACAGAGCUGCACCUGAUCCCAGGACUUGAUUUGUAUGCUUAAUUAGUUCCCGAACAUAUGGUUCAGAGCUUCUUAUAAAAACAGGGUAAUGACUCGAGGUAUAUUUGGGUAUUAGAUUGAAUGAUGUUAAAGGGACAUUCGGACCCAUCUCAAAGGCCUUAACCUGCCCUUGAUCUGUGCUGGAAGCUUUGGCUGACAUCUGUUUCAAAGAGAUAUCAAAAAACUUUCCAGUGGCCUCAUGAUAAAACAAAAAUCCAUACGGAGAUAGAUAUCAGGCAUUAAAAUACUUAGGAUUCAUCUUUGCCUGAGGAAUGUGUGGCCCCAGAAUAUAAGCGUGCGGGGGGAGGGGUUGAUGAGGGGCUCUGAGAACUGCUGAGGCUACAGGCCUUGACUCAAUCUGGAGAGGGAGCAGCUGGGUCACAAAUGUCCCCAAGGCCCUUUGUUCUUCCGUAUGUUUUAGUUUCCAAUAAUAAAUCAGGUGCGCCUGUGUGAGGGACAUGAUUCAGGUCACCAAGAGUCGCUUCUCCAGCUCCUAUGCAACCCCACUCUUCCCUACUCCCCUCCCUGGAAGGCACUCUGGGGACUGUCCCCAGCAGGAGUGACGGGCGCUGACUCACCCAUACUCUCUGUUCCAGUCGAUCAAAGUUCCAGAGUAGCAGGGAGCCUGUCCAAGCUCGCCUCUGCUGCUCCCUGCUGUUUCCAGAGCCAGGACUGAGCAAGAUGGUCAACUGAUGUUUGCUGAAUGAAUAAGUGACUCGUGAACCCUUUUCUGUGUCAUGAGAUAUUCUUCAAAAACCGUGUUUAUAUUGGCUACGAGUAAUCCAAAGUUCAGUUCUAGCUACAGCCCUGCCAUUUGGACAGCUUCUGACCACCACGAGAGAACUGACGUCACCAUGUGCCACUGAUGUCAUUCCAGAUCACCACAAAGGAAUGUGGAGUGUCAGUCAGCGCAAGUGACCUUGUUGGGAGUCACUACACCAUUCCAUGAGACUCUUAGAAGUUGCAAAAAUGCUCAGGAAUCCACAGACAAUCUCGGUCAACCUGGAGCCCUGGGGCUUCUGGAUUGUACAUCCUCACUCUUGCCAGGGGUGCUGGUGCCAGAGAGAUCACCAAGCCUUUGUCUCUCUCCCCUCUCACCACUGAAGGCCACUGCAGAGACCUCCAGACCAGGCUCAGUGCCAAGGUCACCUAGGACCACUUCUGUUGUGUUGCCUUGGUGUCUGGCCCCCCAAACACAUGGAGUACAGAAACUUGGUUGGGCACAGAAGCCUCACUGUGACUGUGCAAAGCCAGUUCUAAUGGCACAAUAUGCACCAUCACUGAUGCCAAGAAAUCCUGGAUGUGCCCCUUGGGGCACCCCCCUAAGGGCAGCCACGGCCUGCGCGUGGAGCACUCCUGGCUGCUAGCUGAAGGAGCUCAGGACCUCCAGCCCGUAAAGGACAUUUGGUGAACGCUUUUAGAUCCUAAUGACUUUACUGUGCUUCCAAAGUAUUAAAAACACGUCUGCGAAGUACCUUAAGACUCUUCAAAGGAUUCCCACGAGCAAUAUCUCCUUUAAGCCCAAUUUAGAAGGAAGAAAGAGCAGAUGUCAUGGAGGCCAAGAAAGAUAUUGUAACAAGUCUGAGGUCUACCAGCAAGCAACAUGGCGGGGAGCGGCCAGGAGUGGAGCCUCAUUACUCACACCACGCUUUAGCCAGAGGAUGCAGCUGGGGACUGUGUACUAGAGGUGGUUCAGAAGUUAGGAGCAGGGUGACCCCCUACAGUUGGGCAGGGCGCCCCCUCCGAAGGAGCUAAUCACAUCUUAAACAUUGUAGAUUUGUAUGUUUAUUCCAUUGCUCUGGACUGCAAUAAAGUAUCUAUUCUAAUAAAAUCAGUAUAUUAUAACACUU